rnacentral:rRNA from 1 species
ACGCUCGACACCUACGGGAGACAGCAGUGGGGAAUAUUGCACAAUGGGGGAAACCCUGAUGCAGCGACGCCGCGUGGAGGAAGAAGGUCUUCGGAUUGUAAACUCCUGUUGUUGGGGAAAAAGAGGAUGGUACCCAACAAGGAAGUGACGGCUAACUACGUGCCGGCAGCGCGGUAAUCUGAGCGGGCUGGCAAGGC